UGAGACAUAGAAACAAGGGA
rnacentral:miRNA from 1 species